GGCUUGCUGGUAGAGCUGGCUCUGCAACACUCUUUGGUCUUGCAUCUUCACUGAUCUUGGCUUCAUUGAGAGAGGCACAGCAAAGAACUGCUCCUGGUAUUCCUGUUGGUCCUGUUCCCUCCUGCUGACUCGUGCCAAUUUGGCUGAGGUCUACCUGUUCCUGCUAGGUGGUGCCACCCGCUGCUGCUACCACUGAGCUGGACUGCUGGUAUAUCCGUGAAGUGUUUGCGAGUGGAUCAAGCUGCCACUGCUGACCUGGGAAUUGAACAGCUGAUUUCUUGACAAUGCAGAUGGGAUUUGCUUCAAAGAACCAUUCCUAAACAGACUGCCUUAACUGAAGACCCAGUGCUCAGCUGAAGUUUCUGGAAGCCAGAGAGAGAUUGCAAAUUCCUUGAGAAGUCUCAUUAAUCUGCCCAGACGCUGGGAGAGCACACCUGGUUUAGUCUUAGCCAUUGGUGGUUUGUGGCACACUGCUUUCCCUCAGGCUAACACGGGAAGCUUUCCAGAGCUCCAGAGAACAGUGAACGGUUCUGUAAAAAGCAAUCCAGGGAAAAGAGAGACAACGUCGUGGGCUCUGAGCGCAAGGCUCAGAAACAGUGUUUGAAUCUGAGCCUAGCCACAGGCUUACCACCCACUGACCACGCCUGUGGUCUCUUCUCUCAAACAGGAGCAUCCUGACUCUACUUUAAAGGCAAAGUAGAAAUCAAAUUAGUUGCUACAACGAAAAUAAAACAAGUUAUUUCUAGAUUUG
rnacentral:lncRNA from 1 species